rnacentral:rRNA from 1 species
AUGUCCGAUACUAGACUUGCAACUGCAAGUGUCGCUCUUGUCCGCAACUACGUGUCUCUUCCCCGACUGCAACCGCCUUUAGUUUUUUUUUGUCAGAGAGAAGGAGGGGGCAGUUGCAUGUCCAAUAGUAGGCUUGCAACUGCAAGCGUCGCCCUCGACCGCAACUACAUGCCCUCACAUAUGACUGCAACUGACAUAUUUUGUUUUUGUAAGGUGGCGGCAGGAGAGGUGCGGGUUGCAUGUCCAAUAGUAGGCUUGCAACUUCAAGUGUCGCCCUCGACCACAACUGCAUGUCUCCUUGGCCUUGCAUUUUUUGUCGGAGAGGGGGAGGGGGCAGUUGCAUGUCCAAUAGUAGGCUUGCAACGCAAGUGUUGCCCUCAACCGCAACUGCAUGCCUACACACCCGAUUGCAAAGGACAUUUGUGUUGUAAGUGGGCGGCGGAAGAGCGGGAUGUGAGUUGCAUGUGUGAUAGUAGGCUCGAAAUUGCAAGUGUCGCCCUCGAUUGCAAUUGCAAGUCUCCCUCCCGACUGCAACGAGCCUUGCAUUUUUUGUUGGAGAGGGGGAGGGGCAGUUGCAUGUCCAACAGUAGGCUUGCAACUACAAGUGUCGCCCUCGAUCACAAUCGCAUGCCCACACAUUCGACUACAACUAACAAUUUUGUUUUUUUAAGGGGGCGACGGGAGAGGGGUGCGAGUUGCAUGUCCGAUACUAGGCUUGGAACUCCAAGUGUCGCCCUCGACCGCAACUGCAUGUCUCCUCUCUGA